rnacentral:lncRNA from 1 species
ACAGAGUUGACAGUUCUUUUCCAAUGUGAACGCUAACAGGCCCAAGACCCAGGAUGAACCAGUGUUUCCGUUUGAACCCAAAAGCAGUCAAGCAAGAGGAAUUUUCUCUUACUAGUUGGUGGGUCUCUCAGCCGUGGAUACCAGCACCUGCUCCAGUGGAGUUAGCAAGAAAAUGAAGUGGACUCUGUGAGGAACCUUACUUGUGUUUUUGACAUCCUGUGCGCUCUCAACUCCAAAUUCUCUCUGCUCAAGUCAUCAAGACUACUGGGGUCAAACUGAACUUUCCCUCUCUUCUCUGUGACCAGGAAAUUCACUACAGGUAGGAAACUCGACAGUCAUAGGAUUACCUUUAUUUGUUUCUGUUUUCACAGGGAUUCCUGGCAUCACUACCAAUUAAUUAAAG